UACGUAGGCAGCAAGCGUUGUUCGGAGUUACUGGGCGUGAAGGGUGUGUAGGCGGUUUUUUAAGUUUGGUGUGAAAUCUCCCGGCUCAACUGGGAGGGUGCGCCGAAUACUGAAAGACUAGAGUGCGGGAGAGGAAAGUGGAAUUCCUGGUGUAGCGGUGAAAUGCGUAGAUAUCAGGAGGAACACCGGUGGUGUAGACGGCUUUCUGGACCGUAACUGACGCUGAGACACGAAAGCGUGGGUAGCAAACAGG
rnacentral:rRNA from 1 species